UACGUAGGGUGCAAGCGUUGUCCGGAAUUAUUGGGCGUAAAGAGCUCGUAGGCGGUCUGUCGCGUCUGCUGUGAAAACUCGGGGCUUAACCCCGGGCCUGCAGUGGGUACGGGCAGACUAGAGUGCGGUAGGGGAGACUGGAAUUCCUGGUGUAGCGGUGAAAUGCGCAGAUAUCAGGAGGAACACCGGCGGCGAAGGCGGGUAGCUGGGCCGACACUGACGCUGAGGCGCGAAAGCCAGGGGAGCGAACGGG
rnacentral:rRNA from 1 species